GGGUCUGAUCCUGGCUCAGAAUGAACGCUGGCGGCGUGCUUAACACAUGCAAGUCGAACGGUAACAGAGGAGCUUGCUCCUGCUGACGAGUGGCGCACGGGUGAGUAAUGCAUAGGUAACGUGCCCCUUAGUCUGGGAUAGCCACUGGAAACGGUGAUUAAUACUGGAUACUCCUUCUACCUUGAUGGUAGUUGGGAAAGUUUUUCGCUAAGGGAUCGGCCUAUGUUGUAUCAGGUAGUUGGUGAGGUAAUGGCUCACCAAGCCUAUGACACAUAGCGGGUCUGAGAGGAUGAUCCGCCACACUGGUACUGAGACACGGACCAGACUCCUACAGGAGGCAGCAGUGGGGAAUAUUGCACAAUGGACGAAAGUCUGAUGCAGCAACGCCGCGUGGAGGAUGACACAUUUCGGUGCGUAAACUCCUUUUAUAUAAGAAGAUAAUGACGGUAUUAUAUGAAUAAGCACCGGCUAACUCCGUGCCAGCAGCCGCGGUAAUACGGAGGGUGCAAGCGUUAUUCGGAAUCACUGGGCGUAAAGGGUGCGUAGGCGGUUUGAUAAGUCUGAUGUGAAAUCCUAUGGCUCAACCAUAGAACUGCAUUGGAAACUGUCAAACUAGAAUACUGAAGGGGCAGAUGGAAUUAGUGGUGUAGGGGUAAAAUCCGUAGAUAUCACUAGGAAUACCGAAAGCGAAAGCGAUCUGCUGGGAAGUUAUUGACGCUGAGGCACGAAAGCGUGGGGAGCAAACGGGAUUAGAUACCCCGGUAGUCCACGCCCUAAACGAUGAAUGCUAGUCGUCGGAAAGCUCGUCUUUUCGGUGAUGCAGUUAACACAUUAAGCAUUCCGCCUGGGGAGUACGGUCGCAAGAUUAAAACUCAAAGGAAUAGACGGGGACCCGCACAAGUGGUGGAGCAUGUGGUUUAAUUCGAAAAUACGCGAAGAACCUUACCUAGCCUUGACAUUGAUAGAAUCUGGUAGAGAUACCGGAGUGCCUGCUUGCAGGAACUUGAAAACAGGUGCUGCACGGCUGUCGUCAGCUCGUGUCGUGAGAUGUUGGGUUAAGUCCCGCAACGAGCGCAACCCUCGUCGUUAGUUGCUAACAGUUCGGCUGAGCACUCUAGCGAGACUGCCUUCGCAAGGAGGAGGAAGGUGAGGACGACGUCAAGUCAUCAUGGCCCUUAUGGCUAGGCUACACACGUGCUACAAUGGGGCGUACAGAGAGUUGCGAUACCGCGAGGUGGAGCUAAUCUCAUAAAGCGUCUCUCAGUUCGGAUAGAUCUCUGCAACUCGAGAUCUUGAAGCUGGAAUCACUAGUAAUCGUAGAUCAGCAAUGCUACGGUGAAUACGUUCCCGGGUCUUGUACUCACCGCCCGUCACACCAUGGGAGUUGAUUUCACCCGAAAUCGGGAAGCAAACCUUCGGGAUGCUACCGCUUACGGUGGAAUUAGCGACUGGGGUGAAGUCGUAACAAGGUA
rnacentral:rRNA from 1 species